GACGAACGCUGGCGGCGUGCCUAAUACAUGCAAGUCGAACGAACUCUGGUAUUGAUUGGUGCUUGCAUCAUGAUUUACAUUUGAGUGAGUGGCGAACUGGUGAGUAACACGUGGGAAACCUGCCCAGAAGCGGGGGAUAACACCUGGAAACAGAUGCUAAUACCGCAUAACAACUUGGACCGCAUGGUCCGAGUUUGAAAGAUGGCUUCGGCUAUCACUUUUGGAUGGUCCCGCGGCGUAUUAGCUAGAUGGUGGGGUAACGGCUCACCAUGGCAAUGAUACGUAGCCGACCUGAGAGGGUAAUCGGCCACAUUGGGACUGAGACACGGCCCAAACUCCUACGGGAGGCAGCAGUAGGGAAUCUUCCACAAUGGACGAAAGUCUGAUGGAGCAACGCCGCGUGAGUGAAGAAGGGUUUCGGCUCGUAAAACUCUGUUGUUAAAGAAGAACAUAUCUGAGAGUAACUGUUCAGGUAUUGACGGUAUUUAACCAGAAAGCCACGGCUAACUACGUGCCAGCAGCCGCGGUAAUACGUAGGUGGCAAGCGUUGUCCGGAUUUAUUGGGCGUAAAGCGAGCGCAGGCGGUUUUUUAAGUCUGAUGUGAAAGCCUUCGGCUCAACCGAAGAAGUGCAUCGGAAACUGGGAAACUUGAGUGCAGAAGAGGACAGUGGAACUCCAUGUGUAGCGGUGAAAUGCGUAGAUAUAUGGAAGAACACCAGUGGCGAAGGCGGCUGUCUGGUCUGUAACUGACGCUGAGGCUCGAAAGUAUGGGUAGCAAACAGGAUUAGAUACCCUGGUAGUCCAUACCGUAAACGAUGAAUGCUAAGUGUUGGAGGGUUUCCGUCCUUCAGUGCUGCAGCUAACGCAUUAAGCAUUCCGCCUGGGGAGUACGGCCGCAAGGCUGAAACUCAAAGGAAUUGACGGGGGCCCGCACAGGCGGUGGAGCAUGUGGUUUAAUUCGAAGCUACGCGAAGAACCUUACCAGGUCUUGACAUACUAUGCAAAUCUAAGAGAUUAGACGUUCCCUUCGGGGACAUGGAUACAGGUGGUGCAUGGUUGUCGUCAGCUCGUGUCGUGAGAUGUUGGGUUAAGUCCCGCAACGAGCGCAACCCUUAUUAUCAGUUGCCAGCAUUAAGUUGGGCACUCUGGUGAGACUGCCGGUGACAAACCGGAGGAAGGUGGGGAUGACGUCAAAUCAUCAUGCCCCUUAUGACCUGGGCUACACACGUGUUACAAUGGAUGGUACAACGAGUUGCGAACUCGCGAGAGUAAGCUAAUCUCUUAAAGCCAUUCUCAGUUCGGAUUGUAGGCUGCAACUCGCCUACAUGAAGUCGGAAUCGCUAGUAAUCGCGGAUCAGCAUGCCGCGGUGAAUACGUUCCCGGGCCUUGUACACACCGCCCGUCACACCAUGAGAGUUUGUAACACCCAAAGUCGGUGGGGUAACCUUUUAGGAACCAGCCGCCUAAGGUGGGACAGAUGAUUAGGGUGAAG
rnacentral:rRNA from 1 species